rnacentral:rRNA from 1 species
UGAGGAAUAUUGGUCAAUGGGCGGGAGCCUGAACCAGCCAAGCCGCGUGAGGGAGGAAGGCCCUAUGGGUCGUAAACCUCUUUUGUCAGGGAACAAAAGCGAGUAUGUAUACUAGUCUGAGUGUACCUGAAGAAAAACGCAUCGGCUAACUCCGUGCCAGCAGCCGCGGUAAUACGGAGGAUGCGAGCGUUAUCCGGAUUUAUUGGGUUUAAAGGGUGCGUAGGCGGCGGUGCAAGUCAGCGGUAAAAUGCCCGGGGCUCAACCCCGGCGAGCCGUUGAAACUGCAGUGCUAGAGAAGGCGAGAGGUACGCGGAAUGCGCAGUGUAGCGGUGAAAUGCGUAGAUAUUAGGAGGAACACCAGUGGCGAAGGCGGCUUACUGGACGGUAACUGACGUUGAGGCUCGAAAGCGUGGGGAGCAGACAGGAUUGAUACCC